AUCUGGCUCCUUCGGAGUCCGAGUUGUAAUUUGUAGAAGAUGCUUUGGGUUGUGGGCUCGGCCUAAGUUCCUUGGAACAGGACGUCAUAGAGGGUGAGAAUCCCGUAUGUGGCCAUGGCCCGCGCCUAUGUAAAGCUCUUUCGACGAGUCGAGUUGUUUGGGAAUGCAGCUCAAAAUGGGUGGUAAAUUUCAUCUAAAGCUAAAUAUGGGCCAGAGACCGAUAGCGCACAAGUAGAGUGAUCGAAAGAUGAAAAGCACUUUGGAAAGAGAGUUAAACAGUACGUGAAAUUGUUGAAAGGGAAGCGCUUGCAACCAGACUUGGGCGCUGCCGAUCACCCCGAGUUCUCUCGGGUGCACUCGACAGCGCACAGGCCAGCAUCGGUUCGGGUGGCUGGAUAAAGGCCGUAGGAAUGUAGCUCUCUUCGGGGAGUGUUAUAGCCCACGGUGCCAUGCAGCCCAGCCGGACCGAGGACCGCGCCUUCGGGCUAGGAUGCUGGCGUA
rnacentral:rRNA from 1 species